rnacentral:rRNA from 1 species
UACGUAGGGGGCAAGCGUUGUCCGGAAUCAUUGGGCGUAAAGCGCGUGUAGGCGGCCCGGUAAGUCCGCUGUGAAAGUCCAGGGCUCAACCCUGGAAUGCCGGUGGAUACUGUCGGGCUCGAGUCCGGAAGAGGCGAGUGGAAUUCCUGGUGUAGCGGUGGAAUGCGCAGAUAUCAGGAGGAACACCAAUAGCGAAGGCAGCUCGCUGGGACGUUACUGACACUGAGGCGCGAAAGCGUGGGGAGCGAACAGG